rnacentral:rRNA from 1 species
GACGAACGCUGGCGGCGUGCCUAAUACAUGCAAGUAGAACGCUGAAACUUGGUGCUUGCACCGAGCGGAUGAGUUGCGAACGGGUGAGUAACGCGUAGGUAACCUGCCUGGUAGCGGGGGAUAACUAUUGGAAACGAUAGCUAAUACCGCAUAAGAGUAGAUGUUGCAUGACAUUUGCUUAAAAGGUGCAAUUGCACCACUACCAGAUGGACCUGCGUUGUAUUAGCUAGUUGGUGGGGUAACGGCUCACCAAGGCGACGAUACAUAGCCGACCUGAGAGGGUGAUCGGCCACACUGGGACUGAGACACGGCCCAGACUCCUACGGGAGGCAGCAGUAGUGAAUCUUCGGCAAUGGACGGAAGUCUGACCGAGCAACGCCGCGUGAGUGAAGAAGGUUUUCGGAUCGUAAAGCUCUGUUGUAAGAGAAGAACGAGUGUGAGAGUGGAAAGUUCACACUGUGACGGUAUCUUACCAGAAAGGGACGGCUAACUACGUG